AUUGAACGCUGGCGGCAGGCUUAACACAUGCAAGUCGAACGAGUGGCGGACGGGUGAGUAAUGCUUGGGAAUCUGGCUUAUGGAGGGGGAUAACGACGGGAAACUGUCGCUAAUACCGCGUACCAUAGGAUGAGCCCACGUGGGAUUAGCUGGUUGGCGGGGUAAAGGCCCACCACGGCGACGAUCAGUAGCGGGGCUGAGAGGAUGAUCCGCCAGAAUGGGACUGAGACACGGCCCAGACUCCUACGAGAGGCAGCAGUGGGGAAUUUUGGACAAGGGGCGCAAGCCGGAUCCAGCCAGGCCGCGUGUAUGAAGAAGGCCUUGGGGUUGUAAAGUACUUUCAGCGAGGAGGCGUUACCCGCAGAAGAAGCACCGGCUAACUCCGUGCCAGCAGCCGCGGUAAUUC
rnacentral:rRNA from 1 species